rnacentral:rRNA from 1 species
UACGGGGGGGGCAAGCGUUGUUCGGAAUUACUGGGCGUAAAGGGUUCGUAGGUGGCCCGCUAAGUCAGACGUGAAAUCCCUCAGCUCAACUGGGGAACUGCGUCUGAGACUGGCGGGCUUGAGUGCAGGAGAGGAACGCGGAAUUCCAGGUGUAGCGGUGAAAUGCGUAGAUAUCUGGAGGAACACCGGUGGCGAAGGCGGCAUCCUGGACCGGCAUUGACGCUGAGGCGCGAAAGCUAGGGGAGCAAACGGGG